GAUGAACGCUGGCGGCGUGCCUAAUACAUGCAAGUCGAGCGAACAGACGAGGAGCUUGCUCCUCUGACGUUAGCGGCGGACGGGUGAGUAACACGUGGAUAACCUACCUAUAAGACUGGGAUAACUUCGGGAAACCGGAGCUAAUACCGGAUAAUAUAUUGAACCGCAUGGUUCAAUAGUGAAAGACGGUUUUGCUGUCACUUAUAGAUGGAUCCGCGCCGGAUUAGCUAGUUGGUAAGGUAACGGCAUACCAAGGCAACGAUGCGUAGCCGACCUGAGAGGGGGAGAGGCCAGAAGGGGAAUGAGAGACGGACCAGAAGAAGGCGGGAGGCAGAAGGACGGAAUCUUUGGCAAUGGAGUGAAGUAGGAACGAGUAACGCAGCGGGAGAGAAGAAGGGUGGAGGAUAGGAAAGAUCUGUUGUAAGAGAAUAAAAAGUGGGAGAGGGGAAAGUGCACACCGUGAGGGUAUAUUACCAGAAAGGGAGGGCUAACUAAGUG
rnacentral:rRNA from 1 species